rnacentral:rRNA from 1 species
CCUACGGGAGGCAGCAGUGGGGAAUUUUGGACAAUGGGCGCAAGCCUGAUCCAGCAAUGCCGCGUGAGUGAAGAAGGCCUUCGGGUUGUAAAGCUCUUUUGUCAGGGAAGAAACGGUGGAGGCUAAUAUCUUUUGCUAAUGACGGUACCUGAAGAAUAAGCACCGGCUAACUACGUGCCAGCAGCCGCGGUAAUACGUAGGGUGCAAGCGUUAAUCGGAAUUACUGGGCGUAAAGCGUGCGCAGGCGGUUUUGUAAGUUUGUCGUGAAAUCCCCGGGCUCAACCUGGGAAUGGCGAUGAAGACUGCAAGGCUAGAAUCUGGCAGAGGGGGGUAGAAUUCCACGUGUAGCAGUGAAAUGCGUAGAGAUGUGGAGGAACACCGAUGGCGAAGGCAGCCCCCUGGGUCAAGAUUGACGCUCAUGCACGAAAGCGUGGGGAGCAAACAGGAUUAGAUACCCUGGUAGUCCACGCCCUAAACGAUGUCUACUAGUUGUCGGGUUUUAAUUAACUUGGUAACGCAGCUAACGCGUGAAGUAGACCGCCUGGGGAGUACGGUCGCAAGAUUAAAACUUAAAUGAAAUUGACGG